GAAGAACGCAGUGAAAUGCGAUAACUAAUGUGAAUUGCAGAAUUCCGUGAAUCAUCGAGUCUUUGAACGCACAUUGCGCCCCCUGGUAUUCCGGGGGGCAUGCCUGUCCGAGCGUCAUUGCUGCCCAUCAAGCACGGCUUGUGUGUUGGGUCCUCGUCCCCCCCGGGGGACGUGCCCGAAAGGCAGCGGCGGCACCGCGUCCGGUCCUCGAGCGUAUGGGGCUUUGUCACCCGCUCUGCAGGCCCGGCCGGCGCUGGCCGACGCGAAAGCAACCAUUUUUUCUCCAGGUUGACCUCGGAUCAGGUAGGGAUACCCGCUGAACUUAAGCAUAUCAAUAAGCGGAGGA
rnacentral:misc_RNA from 1 species